rnacentral:tRNA from 1 species
GCCGGUGUGGCGAAAUGGCAGACGCAUGGGACUUAAAAUCCCAAGGUGGGAACACCGUGAGGGUUCAACCCCCUCCACCGGCACCA